rnacentral:sRNA from 1 species
UUCCCGCAGUUGGCACAGGAGAACGGGC